rnacentral:rRNA from 1 species
AGCGCAACCCUUGUCCUUAGUUACCAGCACGUUAUGGUGGGCACUCUAAGGAGGACUGCCGGUGGACAAACCGGAGGAAGGUGGGGAUGACGUCAAGUCAUCAUGGCCCUUACGGCCUGGGCUACACACGUGCUACAAUGGUCGGUACAAAGGGUUGCCAAGCCGCGAGGUGGAGCUAAUCCCAUAAAACCGAUCGUAGUCCGGAUCGCAGUCUGCAACUCGACUGCGUGAAGUCGGAAUCGCUAGUAAUCGUGAAUCAGAAUGUCACGGUGAAUACGUUCCCGGGCCUU